AUAUGUUGGUUUAAUUAAAGGCUAAUGGUCAAGGUAUGUAUGUAAAUAUGUUUAUUGAAUUUCCGUUUAAAGCUAUUGUGAAAAUGAUAAAGUUCAAGAUCUUGGAUUAUGAAUUGGGUUUUAUGGCUUGACCCAAUAUUAAUACUCUGAAUAAUAAAUUUAUUUAUUUAUUUUCAUUUCUUUACCUACUUUUAAUUCUAAAAUUGACGUUUGAUCCUUGCACAGAAGUUUCUUGGAUAAGGCAUAUCCGGCCCAAAGGCGCAUGAGGCCCCUCAUAAAAAGAUGGGCUUCCUUUGCAAGCCGACAUAACUAAUAGGCCUAUCUUUCCUAUGAAUUGCAAGUUGAUUUUAGCUCAGUAUUAUCACACAUUGAAAAAGGUACCAACAUGUGGGAGGUCUUGGUUCGUUAUUCUGAUUUUUCUUUUCCUUAUAAAGUUUUUUUUUUAUUCAAAUUAAUUUUUUUUUUCUCAUAUAAUUCCUCUCAAACCUUUACUAAUAAGUGAAGAAUGAGAUUGGAGGUUUUGAAUAGAGGGUUUUCAUAGCCAGAGUUCUGAUAUAUAUAUAUAUAUAUUUAAUUUAAAUAUAUCAAACGCAAAUAAUAAUACCAAAAAAAUUGUAGGAAUUGUUGAUUUAG
rnacentral:lncRNA from 1 species